rnacentral:rRNA from 1 species
GACGAACGCUGGCGGCGUGGAUUAGGCAUGCAAGUCGAACGGUAUCAUCCUUUCGGGGGUGAGAGAGUGGCGAACUGGUGAGUAACACGUAGGUUAUCUACCCUCAAGACGGGGACAACCCAGGGAAACUUGGGCUAAUACCGGAUGUGAGCAACUUUUAGUUGUUUGAAAGGUGGCGUAAGCUGUCGCUUGGGGAUGAGCCUGCGUCCUAUUAGUUAGUUGGUGAGGUAACGGCUCACCUAGGUAAUGAUAGGUAGGCGGCCUUAACGGGUGGUCGCCCACACUGGGAUUGAGAUACGGCCCAGACUCCUACGGGAGGCAGCAGUCGAGAAUAGUCUACAAUGGUCGGAAGACUGAUAGUGCGACGCCGCGUGAACGAUGAAUCCCUUCGGGGUGUAAAGUUCUUUUAUAUGUGAGCAGUGCUUCUUAUAUUAACAGUAUGGGGAAGAGAUAUUAGCAUAUGAAUAAGCAACGGCUAACUCCGUGCCAGCAGCCGCGGU